rnacentral:rRNA from 1 species
UACGUAGGGGGCGAGCGUUGUCCGGAUUCAUUGGGCGUAAAGCGCGCGUAGGCGGCCCCGCAAGUCGGCCGUGAAAUCUCCGGGCUCAACUCGGAGGGGUCGGGCGAGACUGCGGGGCUCGAGGUGGGCAGAGGGCAGUGGAAUUCCGGGUGUAGUGGUGGAAUGCGUAGAGAUCCGGAGGAACACCAGUGGCGAAGGCGGCUGCCUGGGCCUGGCCUGACGCUGAGGCGCGAAAGCCAGGGGAGCAAACGGG